rnacentral:rRNA from 1 species
GACGAACGCUGGCGGCGUGCCUAAUACAUGCAAGUCGAGCGCAGGAAAUCGACGGAACCCUUCGGGGGGACGUUGAUGGAAUGAGCGGCGGACGGGUGAGUAACACGUAAAGAACCUGCCCUCAGGUCUGGGAUAACCACGAGAAAUCGGGGCUAAUACCGGAUGGGUCAUCGGACCGCAUGGUCCGAGGAUGAAAGGCGCUUCGGCGUCGCCUGGGGAUGGCUUUGCGGUGCAUUAGCUAGUUGGUGGGGUAAUGGCCCACCAAGGCGACGAUGCAUAGCCGACCUGAGAGGGGGAUCGGCCACACUGGGACUGAGACACGGCCCAGACUCCUACGGGAGGCAGCAGUAGGGAAUCUUCCACAAUGGACGAAAGUCUGAUGGAGCAACGCCGCGUGAACGAUGAAGGCCUUCGGGUCGUAAAGUUCUGUUGUAAGGGAAGAACAAGUGCCGCAGGCAAUGGCGGCACCUUGACGGUACCUUGCGAGAAAGCCACGGCUAACUACGUGCCAGCCGCCGCAGUAAAAC